GUGAGGUCAGCGGCCGUGAGGUCACUCCAGGAGGUGCCUACAGGACCUGCAGGACCUGCUCGUUCACAGAUGUUCUCCUAGAAGCAGAAGCUGUUUCUUGUUGCAAACAAAUUUGCUGUGUCCUGUCUUAGGAGUCUCACCUGAAUUUACCAAGGAUGCAUCUGUGCUUGGGGAUGGCUCGGUUUGAGGGGUCUGAGGAGCGGCUCCCCUGGAUCCUUUCCUCCCCAGGAGCCCACCUGCCGAGCUGUCAGCGUCAGCCCCACAUCUCAAGAUGAGGAAAUGGAGCCCGUGCCAGCUCGCUGGGAGGAGGACGAGGACGCCUGUGAUCACAUGCUCUGGUCUGGAGGCACGGCCGCGGGCCCCGGGUCAGUGUGAAUCCGCGGGGUUACUCCUCAGUCGGAUCUGAGCUCUGAAACCCAGACCCGAGGAAGACAAGCGGCCACGUCGGAUGUACCAGUGGUGGAAGAUCCUGUCCGGCUGCACCGAGGCUCACAUCAGAAGCCGGCUUCGGUUUCACCACAAAAUAAGGCAUCUAGUGCCCGAUUCUGCCUCCAAAGCAGCCCUGGGUCACACUCGCUGUAGGACAGAUGUUAUUCUUCAGAAUCACGCCCUCUGGCAAAUGCCCAUCAUCGGACAAAUGGACGGAUGAAGUGUGACUCAGCCAUGAGAAGGGGGAUGCUCUGAGCCGCGCGGCCACACCACCAACCCGGAGGACACGGUGCUGCGAGAAAAAGCCAGCCAGGAGUUCAGAAGUAACAGGGCAAAUAGGGAAAGUCCUUCCUGGCCUGUCUACAUACCCCUGCAGCCCUCCCGGUCCUAGGGUGACUGCUGACGGAGAGGGCACUCCCUUCCCGAGUCUUCUCUGCACGUCCGUGGGCACGCACAGCUGAGCGGCACACAGCAGCCCGGCUCGCUCCUCCGCACUGGGGACACAAGAUUUCACUGCACCUCACCCAGCCCUUUCCACAGAGCAGUUCAUCUUGGAGACUCUUCCCCUCGAAGGGUCUAAAGGCCAGUCUCCGUGUCCUGGUGUUUGUUGUCGGGGAGGAUGCAACAUCGGGGGAAGGAAGUAAUCAUGUCUGGUGGCAGCUGGCACUGGCAGGCAGCGGGCACUCGAAGCCUGCACCUCGCACCUGUCCCUCUGGGGCCUCGGCUAUCCCUCCGCACGACGGGCAUGAAGCCCCCUCCUGCCUCCACUGCUCGGAUGAAAGGAGCUCGUAGAUGACGGAGUUGAUGACAUAGGAAUCAUUCUGGACUUGCAUCUCCACAUCGUAGCUGUGACUGUUUGCCACAGCGAGGAAGAUCCUCUCCCCGAUCUGGAAGACCUCCCAGUCUGCAGCACCGAACGUCUAGGACCAAAGGAGAGCAGGCCCCAGUGCUGUGCGUCCUACGAGCACCACCUGCUGUCUCACCUCUUCCAGGAAGCCCACCCUGAUCCCUCUAGUCCCAGCCUCAGACACUGAAGCAACAUCAGGCGGAUGUCACCCACCCCUUGGGACUUCGCCAUGGGUCGCUAGCCCAGACCCUCCCCUUGGUUCCGGUGGUUCCAUUUCUGCCCCUUUGCUGCUGGCCCCCUUCUGAGGAUGCCCGUGCAUCUCCAGGACCACUGCUCCAGUCCUUGGUGUAGAUCAAAGCUGGCCUUCACACGCGGCCUGAAAAUGUAGAGUGGCCGCCUUCUGGGCUGGGCUGCCACCUCCACCACAUCACCCGUGACAGAAGCCCCGUGUUUUUCGGUAACCACGUUCCACGAACACCUCCCGACUGCCUUCCAGAACACACAAAGAUCAACGAAGCUCAGAAUCCAGUCCCGACGUCAUUUCAUGAAGAGCAGGUAGUCCAUCAAAGGGAUGGGCCCCAUGAGUGAAGGGCUGAGACCCCACCAUGGUGUGAGGCGUCCCAGGCACUCCCGUCACGGCCCAAACCAGGCUGCAGGCUCCAUCCCCAUGGGGCAGGCACAGAGGAGGCGAUUCAUGUGGACACAGGGACACCUGUGGACGCCCUGGCUCGGCCGCUUACCGCCGUGUGUUUGUGGCCAGGUCCCUGCUCCUGAGCCUCAGUUUCCACACCUGUGAGAUGGGUCUGAGGUGGAAUCGCCAACCAGCUGAGGAUGCGCAGCCACAGACCACCUUCCAGAAAUCUCCAAAAGGCUUUCCAAAACAGGAAAACAAGGAAGGCUGCCAUCAGCAGGAAUUCCAGGGCUUUCAGAAUGAGGCUGUCAGGAGUGAAGGGAGCUGUGCUCCACAUGCAGGGCAGUGGCCAGGGCUGCCAGGCCUUGUUUAUCUGGGAGCGCCAGGCUGCCUGCCUGCACCUGGUCUGGGCACCUGAAGGCAGAGCUGCUCCUGCUUAGGGUCUGUGGCAACUGUCCUCCUCAGUGGGUGCUGCUGGGAGCUCCUCUGAUUCCUGGUGGGCGGCUUCUGGCCUCGCCUCUUCACCCACGGUGUAGGGUGUGGGAUGGAGAUGCAGGGCCUCUGCUCUCCUUCUCCCCUCCCCCAAGCAGCCUGGGUUGUACCUCCACUAAUAAACACCAACACCCGCGCCCAGGGUGGGUUCGGC